AGUUAUGAAUACCCUUCUGUGUAAAUCUUGCAUUGUUCGGUGGUUGAAGUUGACCAAAUAUAUCUAGUUUUGAUCUUGGUAGAUUAACUGAUCCAUUUCAGAUAGUAUUGGCAAAUAAGAGGUGGAAGGCAAGCCAUGAAUUCUGGAGAACUAUUUGAAAAUGUUCAGAUUUUUUGUAGCCAGUCAGGAGAAAUUCCACGGUAGCGCGGACAACCAGUACUGGAAAUCGAUUUCAAAGCUCAAUCCGCAUGAAGUAGGCACCAUUAAGAAGGGGAAAGAAAGACAAUGACAUAAAUGAGAGAAGGAAUAUAAGAUUCAUGUUUUUUUAGUCCGACAACAAAUUAAGUUCAGUCCAUGAUGUAUUUUGCUUAAUGAUUUGAUAUUAGGUAGUGUGUCAAGAACUGUUCUGCGCAUAUGAAUCAUAUAUGUGGUACUGAACAUAUACUGUACUCAUUUACAGAAAGCCAUAUCUUGUUGCAUAUGUACAAUAACUACACAUGACUA